GAUUCCCUCCUCGGGAGGCGGCGCUGGGGCUGGGCCUCAGCUGCGAUGAGGGGCGGGGGCGCUGCCGCCUCAGCUGGGCUGACGGACCCUGGGGAGCCUUGGGGAGAGAAGAUCCUCCUCACUGUGGAGAAAAGAGCUGGAGAGACCCGGAGUGGGGGAAAUAGAUGGGAAGCAGGAAUGGCCCUGGCAUCUCACACCCUGUGUUUCCUUUUGCUGCUGCUGCUGGGACCAGCCUGGAAGCCUGUGGGCUCUGCUGCUCAUUCUCUUUGCCUCAACCUCACUGUCACAUCUCAGUCCAGACCCGGAUAGCCCUGGUGUGCAGCCCAGGGCUCAGUGGAUGGAAACCCUUUCCUUCAGUACGACUGUGACAGCCACAAGGUCACGCCUCUGGGUCCCCUGGGGGAGAAGGUAAAGGCCACCAAGACAUGGACAGACUUGACCCAGACACUGAGAGAAGUGGGGAGAGAGCUCAGGAUGAUCCUGCCUCACAUCAAAUUGGAGAAAAACACAACCUGGGGUCCCCCCACCCUGCAGGCCAAGAUGUCUUGUGGGCAUGAAGCACACAGAGGCACUGGAGCGUCCUGGGAGUUCAGCACCAAUGGACAGAGGGCCCUCCUACUUGAUGUCAUGAGUGGGAAGUGGUCAGCGAUUGGCCCUGGAGCCAGCGGGGUCAGGGAGCAGUGGGAGAACAACCAGCAGCUGACAGAGUAUCUCAGAAAGAUCUCCAGGGGAGAUUGCAGUCACUGGCUUCAGGAAUUCCUACCACACUGGGAAGAAAUGCUGGAGCCCACAGUUUUCCUUUAACCAGCUCAAAAGUCAUGAAGCCUUCACCAUCUUCCCCAGGCAGAACUGAACACCCCCAAGCUCUGUUGCCCUCAAAGAGUCAACCCCCAGUAAACAUGUCAAACGUUGAGGAUCAGUGGACAUUUGCUGUCUCCCGCAGCUGAAAUCUGAGCUCCAGGAGGACAGGGCACCACCCCUACUAAUCUUCACACCGUUGGAGCUGUAGAGUGGCUGUCCCAUGAGUCAGGAAUGUGGGGGUGACACAUGAGUCUCAUUGCGUGGCUGUGAGUGGAAUCUUCUGGGAAGAUGAAACAGAGCUGAACCAAGAAGAGAACCCCCUGCUUUGUCCAUCAGCUCCAGAGACACCCCCCCCCCAAGGGAGGUGAGGAAGCUGCCUCCAUGGGCAGGACUGGACAACCCGGAAAAAGUAAAAGCCCUGGUACCCUCGAGAAGAGGAAGCCCAGGUGGAGUCUGGCAAGACCGACUUUGUCCUUGAAGCCUCCGUGGACCAGAUGUCAAGCGUUAGCUCUGAUCCUAUAUGGAGUUUUCAACAAAGCAGCUAAAUUUCUCUUUGGUUAUUCUGCCCUGUGAUUUUAUGCAAAAGUGGGUAAUAUGGUUUAAGACUAGAUUUAGUUUGUAAACUUUGGCUAUGCUGUUGAAACAAUUUGGGAUCAAGGUUGAGAGAAUUUGUUUUUUACAUAAAUUGAACCAAUUUUAGGAUUUUUUCCCCUGUGAUUUUGAUAUAUUUGCUGUCAUGUUUUGGCUAAUGCCUCCAAAUGUUUUUGUGGUUUUGUUUUUGUU